GUACUAAGGUAGCAUAAUCAAUUGUCUUUUAAUUGAAGAAUGGAAUGAAAGAAUUAAUGAAAUAUAUACUGUCUCAAUUAUAAAAAUUAAUUUAAAUUUUUAGUUAAAAUGCUAAAUUUAAAUUAUGGGACGAUAAGACCCUAUAGAAUUUUAUAUUAAAUUAUUUAUAAUAAUUAAUUAUUAAAUUAUUAUAAAUAAUUUAAUAUUUAAUUGGGAGGAUUUAUAAAUUUAAUAAACUUUAUAUUAAUAAUUAAACUUUGAUUUAAGAAAAUUUAAUUUGAUAUAGUAGUAUUAAUUAGAAAAAAAAAUUACCUUAGGGAUAACAGCGUAAUAUCUUUUUAAAGUACAAAUUAAUAA
rnacentral:rRNA from 1 species